rnacentral:rRNA from 1 species
CCUACGGGUGGCAGCAGUGGGGAAUAUUGGACAAUGGGCGAAAGCCUGAUCCAGCCAUGCCGCGUGUGUGAAGAAGGCCUUCGGGUUGUAAAGCACUUUCAGUGGGGAAGAAAGCCUUGGGGCUAAUACCCUCGAGGAAGGACAUCACCCACAGAAGAAGCACCGGCUAACUCCGUGCCAGCAGCCGCGGUAAUACGGAGGGUGCGAGCGUUAAUCGGAAUUACUGGGCGUAAAGCGCGCGUAGGCGGUCUGAUAAGCCUGUUGUGAAAGCCCCGGGCUCAACCUGGGAACGGCAUCCGGAACUGUCAGGCUAGAGUGCAGGAGAGGAAGGUAGAAUUCCCGGUGUAGCAGUGAAAUGCGUAGAGAUCGGGAGGAAUACCAGUGGCGAAGGCGGCCUUCUGGACUGACACUGACGCUGAGGUGCGAAAGCGUGGGUAGCAAACAGGAUUAGAUACCCGAGUAGUC